rnacentral:lncRNA from 1 species
GCUGGGUUGGUGAAUGUCCUUGUCCUUCCUCCUCCCUGGCACUGUGAGGAUUAAUUACAUUGAGUAAAGUGGAGUGGGAGAAGCAAAGUCACUGCAAUAUUUAGGGUUUCAGUAUGAUGGUGUCCAUUGGGAAACCCCUGCAAUCAGUAGGUGAUGCCAUUUGAGAAAUCAAGAGGUACUGAGUGUAAGAACAGAUUGUGCAAGUGUUUGGACGCUUGGCUAUUUUUUCAGUAGUGCCCACUAAUUUGGGCAUGUUUUCCUCUCUGGAUGCCCAGUUGGAGAUGGCUCAUAGAAGCUCAUGUUUGGAAGUCACGUACUGAAGUCAUGGCUUCUUCAGGGUGUACCAGCACAGCUGGGCACAGAGGCAGGGAGCAUCCCUGUGGCCCAGGUCUCGGAAUGGGAAAACCACUGGACUGUUUUCUUCUUGCCAAAACACUGAAUGUCUCAUCACCACGUGGGAAAGCAUCUUGCUGCAGACUGAAUUUUGUAAAUAGUGCAGUAACACAAACCCAUCGCACAUCAGAAAUAGCUGGCUUUACAGUGGUCAGCAAACAGGGCACCAAACUGCACCCACAGCUCCCUCUGUCCCCUGGACCAGCUGUGGGUGCCGGGUGGGAGGAAGGAGCUGGCUGGGGAAGAAGAGCAGGGAGGUCACCAUGAAGACAUGACAUUUGUUACCUGCCUCUUUCCCCUGGCUCCUACAUUGCCAGUUUCAGGUGAGUCCUGGUCCCCACAUCCAAGAAGCAGGCAGGAGAGGUUCCCAACUGUGCCCAUGCCACACAGAGGGCAGAGGCAGGGGGCAGAGCUUGGACAGCACCUCUGUUCUGCCACCAUGCCCUUCCCCAUGAGUGCAAAGGCCCAUCUCUGAUCUCCUUCUGGGGUCAGCAGGGCCUGAGGCUGUUUCUGCUCUGUUUCUGCAGCAGAAAGAGCUGUGGGUGGAUGCACUGCUGGGGUAAGCUGGGGGAUGCUCCAGACACAGCUGGGUAGGGGAACACAGCUCCCCAGCUGGGGAGAGGUGUCCCUGUGGCUGCAGCAGGAGAUGCCUGACAAGAGAGAAGAGAUGGCUUGGAGCUCAGCUCACUCCAUGUCCAUUCCUGCUGCACAGGACACCACAAGGAGCCAAGAGAGCCUGGGUGACCCACCUGGAGCUGAGCUGCCUCCACAUCACUGAGAGUCUCUGCUCGGGGCUCAGGCACUGAGUGCUGGUGCUCCAGCCAAGCAGUAGAGGCAUCACUGCGCACCUUCUUCUGCUCCUCUCCUUCCCAGUGGGGCCCAGCCAGUGCUGGGAGUCCGGAGGAACUGGUGGAGACCAGCAGAGAUGACAGUGGGAGACUUUCAGCUGCCUCUGGCUGUGCUGAGGUGCAGGGAUGUGCAGCACUUUAAUGCUGCAGGUCUGAGGCUUUGAACAUUUUCUAUUCUGUAACAGAGUUCUAGAAGCGGAUAAAGUGUGCCACAUUGAGCUUGUGUGGGCAGGAGGGAGAGAAGGGGAGUCCCUGGUGCCAGUCAGGGAGAUGGAGAGGUGUGGGGAGCCACCAGCAGCACUAGUAUGUGCUCCCUGGCAGUACUGGGAGAAAACCUGUCCUGCAGGACAGGGAGCCUGGUAGCACAGAGAGUCCUGGCCCUGCUGUGCUCAGUCUGCUGGGGCCAGGUGACAGCUCAC